GAAUGCUGACAUAAGUAACGAUAAAGCGGGUGAAAAGCCCGCUCGCCGGAAGACCAAGGGUUCCUGUCCAACGUUAAUCGGGGCAGGGUGAGUCGACCCCUAAGGCGAGGCCGAAAGGCGUAGUCGAUGGGAAACGGGUUAAUAUUCCCGUACUUGGUGUUACUGCGAAGGGGGGACGGAGAAGGCUAUGUUGGCCGGGCGACGGUUGUCCCGGUUUAAGCGUGUAGGUGUGUGUUCCAGGUAAAUCCGGUUCACUUUAACACUGAGGCGUGAUGACGAGGCACUACGGUGCUGAAGCAACAAAUGCCCUGCUUCCAGGAAAAGCCUCUAAGCAUCAGGUAACAUCAAAUCGUACCCCAAACCGACACAGGUGGUCAGGUAGAGAAUACCAAGGCGCUUGAGAGAACUCGGGUGAAGGAACUAGGCAAAAUGGUGCCGUAACUUCGGGAGAAGGCACGCUGACACGUAGGUGAAGUGAUUUACUCAUGGAGCUGAAGUCAGUCGAAGAUACCAGCUGGCUGCAACUGU
rnacentral:rRNA from 1 species